CUGGCCUCCAGUCGCCAGUCCUUCUACGGCAACACUCAGCUCCGCAGCUCUUGCCUCGGUUUCGUCGUCAUCGUCGUCUUCGUCGUCGUCGUCGAUUCGAUCGUUCGACUCGAUAUUUCGUGCGUGCGUGCGUGCGUACACGCACAAAGAGCGCUCAUCGUUCGGUUUGGACUAAGCUCGGUCCACGCUCGCCGCUAAAUUCGUCCCUUUCUUCCCUCCUCCGUCCAACAAUCGGAGAGUACGUGUGUGACACAAUCUGUCUUUAGAAUCUUCAAUCGGGGCGCAUAGAAAGCCACGGCUCGUGCACUACACGCUCUUUCAUUUGUUCCAACUCGUUCGUUCCCUCCACGAGAACCGAGAGCAGUUUUUCUUAUCUCUGAUCGAUAGAUCCGAACCAAUUCGCACGAUUCGCGUCGAAUAAAUCCUUUUCUUCCAGAGCCUGUACCCAUUAUUACAUCCGCUAGUAAUUUGUAUCUUUGUAUCUUUCGUUAAAAAAUCUUUGGAUUCUAUAGAACCAAAUUUACACAGAAUUCGAACGCGAAAAAGACUGUUUACAAGGAACAAAAGGAAUCUCCACUCGAGUUCCAUCUCUUUACUCGAUAAAAAAAAUAAAAAUUUCAAACUUUUAAUACAUUCGAGAGUACAAUUGCAAUUUUUAAGAAAGUUUCCAGGAUUAAAAAUGGAUAUUGCAUUUCCUUGGAGGAUAUACGAAAAGAAGGAAAAGGAAAAAAAAGACCGAAGGAUUUCCAUUACGAUUCAGAAAUAUAAAUUGUGGCGUAGGAGGCGCGUUACAAAACAAUGCUCGCUUCCUUCUCGUUACAUCGCGUAGAACGAACGUAUCGUGAAAAUUAGUAAUCAUCGCGCGGCCGAUCGAGCACAUAGGAUGCGUAUUACGCGUUAUGGCACGUGUCCUUUGCAAGCGUGCCGUUCCAAUACUCGUCCCACACCCGCGCACGCGUGCCUUUCAACGCGUUCAAUCACGCCGCCGGACGAUGAAUUAUUAAUUGCCGGCCAUUCAUUUCCUACCGCUCUCCUCUCUUCCAAAUCUCGAAUCUUCAAACAAAAAUUCGAAUAAUCGAUCCUUCGAGCAUUUUAACCGAUCUUCACUGAGAUGGAACAUCGAAUUAGAAUGGACCAUUCUUCGAUUCGUUUCUUUAGAAGAACCUUCAAGGGAAUGAGUGUUUAUUUUAUCGUAUCUGUCCAACAUCAAUACUUGGAAUGCCAAGGUUUCCCAAGAAAGCAAAAAAAAUUAGAGUCCGGGAAAAGAAAGCUUCCUCUUUCCGUUUCUAAUUUUACCGAUCAAAGAAAUAAAUCGCGAUCGUAUUUUAUCCGUUUAUACCCGAUCCGUUGCGGGCCUCAAUUAAACGAUCAAACGAUCGUCGCAAUAAAAUUACGCGGGAUAUAAACAGGCUGGUGGUGCGCAUUUACGAGAAUAUCAUACGUGACACCCGUAACGAUUACCGAUCACGGGCCUCCGCCGACUGUUCCAGCAAUUCGUCCAAUCCGGAUCUUGCGUUAAAUAAAGCACACGAGGGUGAAAUAGCCUUAUAAUGAUCCGGGUUCGGGUCGCCCCGAAUAAUGGCCUCGCGUGUCACGAGAAAUUUACAUAAAUGCGCCGGGGCAACUAGAUCGGAGGAGCAUCGUCUCGUUGCAUGACUUACAUGCAUACAUACAAAUCAGCUGUUUGAAUCCUCCUAGAGGCUGCUCUCUCUCUCUCUAUCUGUGGAACAAAAGACAACGUCGUACUUUGUAUUCCUGACAUUUUCAGACAAUCAUUCAUCCGACCGUUUAUUAGAGGGAACACACCGAGAGUGGAAAGCUUCCAAAGAUUCUAUUUCCCUCCACUGCUUGUAAUUACUCUCCCUUGCUUUUCACUCGUCAUCUUUUGUGCCAUAAUUUACCGCCCAUUGAUAUUAUUACAAACCGACCGCUCGUUUCUUUCUCUUAUACAAUUUCGCGUUAUAUAAUAAACGGACCACAAGUGUUAUUUACGAAUGAAAACUUGUGGCGAAUCUUCGUACGACUUUAACAUUUCGAAAUUAUUGAACCACGUUAAACGCGAGCUUUAAUUACCUUUCGUUACGCAAUAUUAUAAAAGUAUAUAUAUUCGAUAAUAUUCGAGCAGGAUUCACGUAUCUGUCUAUUAUUCUACGCUCGUUAAAAAUAUAAGAUUCGAUUUAUAAAAGUCCGCGAGAUAAUUAAAGGAAACGUUUCCCCCUCCACGAGAAUUGGCUCAAUCACGAGGAGCGGCGAAGGCGCGGCCGAGUUUCUCGAAAGCUUCUCCCGCCGCCAACUUCCCGUCCCAUUCCUCCGAUCAAAAAUCGUAAAUCGAGCGGCGCGUGAUUCAUCACCGGUAAAUCCAGAUCGAUGUUUGUCCCCGCGGCAGCUCGCGCUCGUCCGAGCGUAUCGUGGCUAUUUCUACUUCUGUCGGCCAGUGACGAGGACGGAGCGAAAUGUUGGUCAGGCUGGCGUUGGCAAGUGGCAAGGCGGUAUUCCUAGGUGGCCGAACUGGGACAAGGACGCGUGCACGAUUCGUGCGUGAGGCGUGACGCGUGCCUCCACGAAAAAACGAAACCGCCGCGGGAAAUCGAAUCAAUUCGUUCGAGGCGAAAUAUAUCUCUUAUUUUCGUGGUAAUAUUUCUCUCUGGUUGAUGUAUCCCUCGUGGAAAUUUUGUGGAAAAGUUUCGAGAUCGAAAUUCGAAGAAAAGAAAAAGAAAGAAAGGGAGGAAGGAAGGAAGAAUAAAAUAGGGAAAUAAAUGUUUGAUAUUCGUGAUGCGAGGUGUAUCGAUUCCAAGCGAAUGGCUCCGGUUCGAGAUUAUUUUUAACUCGGCGGGAAACAAGGAAACAAAGCUCGUGUGCCGGCUCUCAAAAGUCGUUUCCACGCCAUGACCUCAGCCUUUUGUUCGGUCACUGUCGAAGAAAUUGUGCGCGGCGAAACGAGGGAAGAGAAAAUGUUCGUCGUCGAGAGACUUUGGAUCAGGAGAGUAGAAGAGAGGAAGGAGAGAAAGGGUCGAGAGGAGAGAAAACAGAGACAACAGGCCAUUGUCUUGUCGCUCUUGGUCGUACGUCUUCCUGCUGUUACGUCACCAUUGUUUACUCCAACCCCAGAGCAACUCUCUCGCGCAUUUUUAUUUCGUCACCGCUUCGAUAUCCAUUGUGCAACCGAUUCGCUUUUUUGCGGAGGUCGGAUCCUGUCAAACAACGUUAUCGAUCAAUUAUAUUUUUCUCUUCGUUCCAAGUUAACGGAGUUAUCCCAUUCAUCCCUGUAUUUCGUAUUUUCAAUUUCUGUUUGAAGUAUAAUUUGCCAAAUUAUUCAUUACACGAACGAAUACCAGCCUAUCUUUAUCGACCAAGCCACCGACGAGCAAGACAAAAUUUUCAUAAUCUAUCCACUAAAUUAUCGAUAACUUGGAAUUAAUCAUAUCUAACGAGUGGAAAAAUCGGAUUAUAUUCGAAUUAAGUUUUUCGAUAUGAUUUCGAAGGAAGAAAAAGAUCACGAUUGACAAAUCGAGAGAAGAAGAAGAAGAAGAAUUUCACGAGAGAUAAAUAUCGAACGAGAUAUAUCGGUGGAUAGAAAUGAUUAAACGAGAACGAUGAAGGAAAGCGAAUAUUCCGCUUGGAAAUAUCGAUGUCCAUUGACAGCGUAAGUGAAAUCUUACGCUCCGCGGACGGAAGUCGUCCACACACUUAGCGCUCACUUCCAUCCAAGGUACGUUUUUCCAAAGAAUUACAAACGGCCUUUCCAAGAACACACUUUCCACCGUAUCACGUUGUUUCUUUGGAGCGAGAGUAGCGGCCGAUUUACCAAUUUUGGAUCACAAGUCUCUAUUCUGACCGCUGACGUUUUCCCCUCCUGCAAUAUAUUCGAACAAACGAAUUCGUAUUUCUUCUCCGACAAUGCAAAUAAAUGAAUUUUGAUGUCGAA